GGUCGUGUGGCUCAAUGGCAGAGCGUCUGACUACGAAUCAGGAGGUUGCAGGUUCGACCCCUGCCUCGAUCA
rnacentral:tRNA from 1 species